rnacentral:rRNA from 1 species
UACAGAGGUCUCAAGCGUUGUUCGGAUUCAUUGGGCGUAAAGGGUGCGUAGGUGGCGCCGUAAGUCAGGUGUGAAAUCUCGGGGCUUAACUCCGAAACUGCAUUUGAUACUGCGGUGCUCGAGGACUGGAGAGGAGACUGGAAUUCAUGGUGUAGCAGUGAAAUGCGUAGAGAUCAUGAGGAAGACCAGUGGCGAAGGCGGGUCUCUGGACAGUUCCUGACACUGAGGCACGAAGGCCAGGGGAGCAAACGGG